GAUGAACGCUGGCGGCGUGCCUAAUACAUGCAAGUCGAGCGAACGGACGAGAAGCUUGCUUCUCUGAUGUUAGCGGCGGACGGGUGAGUAACACGUGGAUAACCUACCUAUAAGACUGGGAUAACUUCGGGAGACCGGAGCUAAUACCGGAUAAUAUUUUGAACCACAUGGUUCAAAAGUGAAAGACGGUCUUGCUGUCACUUAUAGAUGGAUCCGCGCUGCAUUAGCUAGUUGGUAAGGUAACGGCUUACCAAGGCAACGAUGCAUAGCCGACCUGAGAGGGUGAUCGGCCACACUGGAACUGAGACACGGUCCAGACUCCUACGGGAGGCAGCAGUAGGGAAUCUUCCGCAAAGGGCGAAAGCCUGACGGAGCAACGCCGCGUGAGUGAUGAAGGUCUUCGGAUCGUAAAACUCUGUUAUUAGGGAAGAACAUAUGUGUAAGUAACUGUGCACAUCUUGACGGUACCUAAUCAGAAAGCCACGGCUAACUACGUG
rnacentral:rRNA from 1 species